UACGUAGGCAGCAAGCGUUGUUCGGAGUUACUGGGCGUAAAGAGUGCGUAGGUGGUGCCCUAAGUCUGUUGUGAAAUCUCCCGGCUUAACUGGGAGGGUGCGGUGGAAACUGGGGUGCUUGAGUGUGGGAGAGGUAAGCGGAAUUCCUGGUGUAGCGGUGAAAUGCGUAGAUAUCAGGAGGAACACCGGUGGCGAAGGCGGGUCUCUGGGCAGUAACUGACGCUGAGGAGCGAAAGCGUGGGGAGCGAACAGG
rnacentral:rRNA from 1 species